ensembl:lncRNA
GAAAGUCAGGUGUUUAAUUAUUUGAUCAAAAUGAGUAGAUUAGGUUUAGCAUUGAACUUCACAAACUAGCGAGGGUUGAUUAAAGACACUUCUUUUGUGUGGAGGAGAGAGGACCCAAACGCAAGAGCAGGUAAAGUCUGUUUUAAUCAACUUAGAAUGUCCAAAAACAAAAUGGCACUAAAGGCUUAAGAGGAGAGGUGCGGGCGCUUGGCCGGCGACGGGGAAUCCCAGAGAGUGCAGGGAACGAGCUCCAGGGCGAGGGUAGAGCACUCCAGACAGCAGGCCGCCCACGUCAAACCGGAGGCUGGGUGGAACAGAGGUUUGGACUCGGGCCACACCGUAAGGCGCGAACCGUACCGGACACGACAAGGCCGGAGAAACAAGACUACAGAUGUUUUUUCAAACGGGCAUCGUGACAACAGCCUGCCACAGAGUUUGGGUCAUCAGUGUAGUCGUUAAGCAGGCCGUAAUGGGCCGUGCGAGGCUGUUCUGCUCUGGCGCCGGGCCGGCUGACCUGUGGAUCACACCAACAUUAUCGGCCGACGGAUCGCACCAUUAUGCCCUUGAUGGAGGGGAACUGUGGAUGUGUCUGGAGGAGAUCGAAAAUGCGUUCCCAGUGUGCUGCCAAUCUGCAGACACGCCACAGGCAGAAGCACUAAAGGUCACAGCUGUCUGCGAUGCAGCAGAGACUAUCGAACGUGAGGGAAGAGAACCAAACAACGAUGAUUUGUCAUUCCGGGUGACUUCCUUACAAAAUGCAAUGCUUCUGUUGUCUAGAUGACUAAUAAGGCAGUUUUAAAAUAAAAAUAGAAACUCCAAUGAUACAACAUUGUCUUGUGAAAUGAAAUAAAUAAUCAACCCUGACCUGCGGCGUUGUUGUAUUCCAGCAUUCUAUGUCUGCCAAUUAUUCAUUUACUCUAUCCACAUGAAAAGGUUUUUCAUGUUUUAGAUUAAUCAAAAUGAAUGCAGAAAACUUUCUUCAAUGAUGAUGAACCCGAAAAGUGAUAUUUUCAUAAAUAAAUUG